rnacentral:rRNA from 1 species
GACGAACGCUGGCGGCGCGCUUAACACAUGCAAGUCGAGCGAUGAAACUUUAACAUAACCCUUCGGGGGGAAGAGAAAGAGGGUUAGCGGAGGAGGGGUGAGUAACACGUUAGUAACCGGCCUUAUACAUUGGGAUAGACCCGGGAAACCGGGAUUAAUAGAAAAUAAAAUCAUAAUGACACAUGUCAUAACGACCAAAACUCCGAGGGUCUAGGUUGGACUAGCAUCUCAUUCGCAAGUUGAGAGAGUAAAAGCCUACCAAGGCGACGACGGCUAGACGGCAAGUGAGACUGAGCGGACACAUUGGCACUGAGAAACGGUAGAAACUCCUACGCGAGGCAGCAGUGGGGAAUAUUGCACAAUGGAGUGAAUUAUGAUGCAGCGACGCUGCGUGAACGCAGUUGGCUUGCAAGACGUAAAGUUCUAGUAUCUGGGAACAUAAUGACGGUACCAUAACAGAAAGCCCCGGCUAACUACGUG